rnacentral:rRNA from 1 species
AUCGUGAUAUUCAUCUUAGAAAUAUCUUGCAUGUUCCAGAAACCUCAAAAAAAUCUUCUUUCUGUCCAUCGUAUUGCUCUUGAUAAUCAUGUGUUUUUGGAAUUUCAUCCUUAUUUCUUUUUGAUCAAGGAUCAGGUCACGAAGCAAGUUCUCUACCGAGGUAGAUGUGUGCAUGGGCUAUAUCCGUUGAUUCCUCAGUUCCGAAGAUUCAAUAAACAAGUUUGCAGUGUCAUCAAACUCUCCCCGGAACGGUGGCAUGCACGCUUAGGACAUCCAUCUUUUUUUAUUGUUCAACAAGUGCUUAGAAAUAAU